AGAGUUUUAUCCUGGCUCAGGAUGAACGCUAGCGACAGGCUUAACACAUGCAAGUCGAGGGGCAGCGGGGGCGUAGCAAUAUGCCUGCCGGCGACCGGCGCACGGGUGAGUAACACGUAUGUAACCUGCCCUAUGCAGGGGGAUAACCCGGAGAAAUCCGGCCUAAUACCGCGUAACACCUUAGGGGAGCAUUCUCUUGAGGUUAAAGGAGAGAUCCGGCAUAGGAUAGACAUGCGUCGCAUUAGGUAGACGGCGGGGUAACGGCCCACCGUGCCGACGAUGCGUAGGGGUUCUGAGAGGAAGGCCCCCCACACUGGUACUGAGACACGGACCAGACUCCUACGGGAGGCAGCAGUGAGGAAUAUUGGUCAAUGGCCGAGAGGCUGAACCAGCCAAGUCGCGUGAGGGAAGAAUGUCCUAAGGAUUGUAAACCUCUUUUGUCGGGGAGCAAAAAGGCUCUGCGGAGUCGUAUUGAGAGUACCCGAAGAAAAAGCAUCGGCUAACUCCGUGCCAGCAGCCGCGGUAAUACGGAGGAUGCGAGCGUUAUCCGGAUUUAUUGGGUUUAAAGGGUGCGCAGGCGGCGUGUCAAGCAAGCGGUAAAAUAGCGGGGCUCAACCCCGUCGAGCCGUUUGAACUGGCGCGCCUGAGUUCAGGCGAGGUAGGCGGAAUUCGUGGUGUAGCGGUGAAAUGCAUAGAUAUCACGAAGAACUCCGAUUGCGAAGGCAGCUUACCAGUCUGCGACUGACGCUCAGGCACGAAAGUGUGGGUAUCGAACAGGAUUAGAUACCCUGGUAGUCCACACAGUAAACGAUGAGCG
rnacentral:rRNA from 1 species